GUGGGGAAUAUUGGACAAUGGGCGAAAGCCUGAUCCAGCCAUGCCGCGUGUGUGAAGAAGGUCUUCGGAUUGUAAAGCACUUUAAGUUGGGAGGAAGGGCAGUAAGUUAAUACCUUGCUGUUUUGACGUUACCGACAGAAUAAGCACCGGCUAACUUCGUGCCAGCAGCCGCGGUAAUACGAAGGGUGCAAGCGUUAAUCGGAAUUACUGGGCGUAAAGCGCGCGUAGGUGGUUUUGUAAGUUGGAGGUGAAAUCCCCGGGCUCAACCUGGGAACUGCCUCCAAAACUGCAUGACUAGAGUACGGUAGAGGGUAGUAGAAUUUCCUGUGUAGCGGUGAAAUGCGUAGAUAUAGGAAGGAACACCAGUGGCGAAGGCGACUACCUGGACUGAUACUGACACUGAGGUGCGAAAGCGUGGGGAGCAAACAGGAUUAGAUACCCGGGUAGUCC
rnacentral:rRNA from 1 species